rnacentral:misc_RNA from 1 species
GAUGAAGAACGUAGCGAACGUGCGAAACGUAAUGUGAAUUGCAGAAUUCAGUGAAUCAUCGAAUCUUUGAACGCAUCUUGCGCUCCUUGGUAUUCCGAGGAGCAUGCCUGUUUGAGUGUCGUGAAUACUCUCAACUUCAACCCUUUUUUCGGAAAGGGAGGAAGGUUGGACUUGGGUGUUUGUUGAAGUGCGAGCUUCGACUCAUCCUAAAUGCAUUAGCGAUCUGCCUCGAUCACACACAAUGUGAUAAUUAAAACUAAAGCAUUGUUUAAUGAUCAAGUCGUGACUGCUUCUAACUGUCGCAAGACAAUAACGUGCAUACAUUUGUGCAUGUCAUUUGACCUCAAAUCAGGUAGGACUACCCGCUGAACUUAAGCAUAUCAAUAAGCGGAGGA